rnacentral:lncRNA from 1 species
UGUAAAGUAAGCAACUACAUGAUCAAAUUCUAUUACCAAAAAGCUUGAUCAUCUGACAGCUGUUCAGGUAAUGGUAAUACUGAUCCAAAAUAUCUUGCAUUUGGGAAAAGCAAUGAUUAUUUUAAUCUCCAAGAGAAGUUAAGAACAAGUCACAACCAAAAAAGAUUUCCCUGAACAUUGAAAGACUGCAUUCAGAAAAUGGAAAGAAUUUGAAAGACAAUCCCACUGCUUGAUAGAACUACUCCUCCUGAAGAUGUAUACCUCACUGUCUUGAGCUACACAACCUCCAGAUCACAACUGCUUCCUAGCACAGAUGCUGUGAACACACAGAGGGAGUUCCUUCACUGCAGAGAUGUGAGCAUAAAUCAGUCCUUGCAGUACACAAAGCCGCACACAAAUGCACAACGAUUCAUGCUACUGCAUGAAGCCCCUUCACUGAAUGAGGAG